rnacentral:sRNA from 1 species
GUUCCCACCUUGUUUCGCAUCAUGCCAAUUUUUUAUUUUGUUGUAUUAUUAUUGGCUGUGGUCUUAGGUUCUUGUCAAGCCAUGCGUCGUUUUCCGACAAAAGGUCGAUUCGGUCGGACGAUAAAGACCAGAUUACCUCCAUGGAUCAUAUAAUCUCGAUGGAACGGCAUAGCACAUUUACAGGAAAUUUGAAUAAGAAAUCUUUAAAAAUCCGAAUAACUUGUGAAUGUCAUAUAUCUUGGAAAUUUAAAUAAAUGAGAACCUAACUCGCGGUAUAGCUGUAAAUGUUCUGUAGAGGCCUUUUCCUCGAUAUCCUCACAGUUAGCGCAGAAAUUUUUACUUGCAA